rnacentral:rRNA from 1 species
CGUAGGGUGCAAGCGUUACUCGGAAUCACUGGGCGUAAAGCGCAUGUAGGCGGGUCUGUAAGUCAAAUGUGAAAGCCCUGGGCUCAACCCGGGAAUGGCAUUCGAUACUGCAGAUCUUGAAUGCUCGAGAGGAUGGCAGAAUUCCAGGUGUAGAAGUGAAAUUCGUAGAUAUCUGGAGGAAUACCGGUGGUGAAGACGGCUGUCUGGUGAGACAUUGACGCUGAGGUGCGAAAGCGCGGGGAUCAAACAGGAUUAGAUACCCUGGUAGUCCGCGCCGUAAACGAUGGAUACUCGAUGUUCGGAGAGUUAACCCUCUGAGUAUCAAAGCUCACGCAUUAAGUAUCCCGCCUGGGGAGUACGGCCGCAAGGUUG